UCCUCGCACCUCACCGUCUCCGAUGGGAAAUGGAUCCCUGGGCCGAUGUCCACCGUUAUCGAUCUCGUCUUCGGUGCCGCCGCCAUCUUAUCCGAAGAAGGGGAACUCAAGGUCUCCGCCGACAUGGACAUCACCUACCUAUCUCUUGCCAAGAUCGAUGAUGAGGUGGAG